ACCGGCGCACGGGUGAGUAACGCGUAUGCAACCUACCUACUACAGGGGGAUAGCCCGAAGAAAUUCGGAUUAACACCGCAUAAUACUAAAGAUUCGCAUGGAUUUAUAGUUAAAAAUUUAUUGGUAGUAGAUGGGCAUGCGUUCCAUUAGCCAGUUGGUGAGGUAACGGCUCACCAAAGCAACGAUGGAUAGGGGAACUGAGAGGUUUAUCCCCCACACUGGUACUGAGACACGGACCAGACUCCUACGGGAGGCAGCAGUGAGGAAUAUUGGUCAAUGGACGAGAGUCUGAACCAGCCAAGUCGCGUGAAGGAUGACUGCCCUAUGGGUUGUAAACUUCUUUUGUGCUAGAGUAAAAAAGAGUAUGUAUACUCUCUUGCAAGUAUAGUACGAAUAAGCAUCGGCUAACUCCGUGCCAGCAGCCGCGGUAAUACGGAGGAUGCGAGCGUUAUCCGGAUUUAUUGGGUUUAAAGGGUGCGUAGGCGGGAGUUUAAGUCAGCGGAGAAAGUUUGAGGCUCAACCUUAAAAUUGCCGUUGAAACUGGAUUUCUUGAGUGUAUUUGAAGUAGGCGGAAUUCGUUGUGUAGCGGUGAAAUGCAUAGAUAUAACGAAGAACUCCAAUUGCGCAGGCAGCUUACUAAACUACAACUGACGCUGAAGCACGAAAGCGUGGGUAUCAAACAGGAUUAGAUACCCUGGUAGUCCACGCAGUAAACGAUGAUUACUAGCUGUUUGUGAUAUUACAAUAAGUGGCUAAGCGAAAGCGAUAAGUAAUCCACCUGGGGAGUACGCCGGCAACGGUGAAACUCAAAGGAAUUGACGGGGGCCCGCACAAGCGGAGGAACAUGUGGGUUUAAUUUCGAUGAU
rnacentral:rRNA from 1 species